rnacentral:rRNA from 1 species
ACAACAGGGAUUGCCCCAGUAACGGCGAGUGAAGCGGCAACAGCUCAAAUUUGAAAUCUGGGGUCGUGUGGGCCUCCGAGUUGUAGUUUGCAGAGGGAGCCUCGGAGGGCUUGUCGGUCCAAGUGCCUUGGAACAGGAUACCGCAGAGGGUGAGAGUCCCGUAUCCGGCCGACGUAGCGCUCCGUGUGAGGCCUCUUCGACGAGUCGAGUUGUUUGGGAAUGCAGCUCCAAGCGGGUGGUAAAUUCCAUCUAAAGCUAAAUACUGGCCAGAGACCGAUAGCGAACAAGUAGAGUGAUCGAAAGAUGAAAAGCACUUUGAAAAGAGAGUCAAACAGUACGUGAAAUUGUUGAAAGGGAAGCGCAUGGGGGCAGACUUGGUCGCGGGGUUCAGGGUGUCGUCUGGCGCCUGUACUUCCCCGCGGACAGGCCAGCAUCGGUUCUGGGGGCCGGACAAAGGCGACGGGAACGUGGCUCUCCUCGGAGAGUGUUAUAGCCCGACGUGCAAUGCGGCCACCUGGGACCGAGGACCGCGCAUUCGUGCAAGGAUGCUGGCGUAAUGGCCUCAUGCGGCCCGUCUUGAAACACGGACCAAGGAGUCUAACAUCUAUGCGAGUGUUUGGGUGUGAAGCCCGGACGCGCAAUGAAAGUGAACGGAGGUGGGAGCAUUCGUGCGCACCAUCGACCGAUCCGGACGUGUUCUGAAGGAUUUGAGUAAGAGCAUAGCUGUUGGGACCCGAAAGAUGGUGAACUAUGCGUGAAUAGGGUGAAGCCAGAGGAAACUCUGGUGGAGGCUCGCAGCGGUUCUGACGUGCAAAUCGAUCGUCAAAUUUGCGUAUAGGGGCGAAAGACUAAUCGAACCAUCUAGUAGCUGGGUCCUGC